rnacentral:rRNA from 1 species
AUAUUGGCCAGAGACCGAUAGCGCACAAGUAGAGUGAUCGAAAGAUGAAAAGCACUUUGGAAAGAGAGUUAAACAGUACGUGAAAUUGUUGAAAGGGAAGCGCUUGCAAUCAGACUUGCACUUGGUGUUCAUCAGGGUCUCGUACCCUGUGUACUUCAUCAAGUUCAGGCCAGCAUCAGUUUGAGUGGUUAGAUAAAGGCUUAGAGAAUGUGGCCCUCUUCGGGGGGUGUUAUAGCUCUAGGUGCAAUGUAGCCUACUUGGACUGAGGACCGCGCUUCGGCUAGGAUGCUGGCGUAAUGGUUGUAAGCGGCCCGUCUUGAAACACGGACC